GAGGAAUAUUGCGCAAUGGACGAAAGUCUGACGCAGCAACGCCGCGUGCGGGAUGAAGGCCUUUCAGGUCGUAAACCGCUGUAGCAGGGAAAAAAUAUCCCGUUAGACGGGAUUGAUGGUACCCUGAAAGUAAGCCUCGGCUAACUACGUGCCAGCAGCCGCGGUAAUACGUAGGAGGCGAGCGUUGUCCGGAUUUACUGGGUGUAAAGGGUCCGCAGGCGGGUAUUUAAGUCGGUGGUGAAAUCCUUCAGCUUAACUGAAGAGCUGCCUCCGAUACUGAAUAUCUUGAAUACGGGAGAGGGUGACGGAAUUCCAGGUGUAGCGGUGAAAUGCUUAGAUAUCUGGAAGAACACCGGUUGCGAAGGCUGUUGCCUGGCCCGUUAUUGACGCUCAUGGACGAAAGCGUGGGGAUCAAAC
rnacentral:rRNA from 1 species